rnacentral:lncRNA from 1 species
CACAUCUCUGCUUUAGCCUCACACUUUGAAUAUUCUUAUUUUUGUGGAUGCAACUGCUUUUUGUGUGAGCAUAUCUACAGCUUCAUUAACCUUUAUUCCUUUGAAACUCAGGUUCCUCCUUAGGUUUAAUUUAUGUCUUUCUGCUUUUGAAUUUUCAAAGAUGGGCUUGAAUAACAAUGGGAGCAUUUGGGAAAAUCUAAUAAUUAUCCCAGCUUGGCCACUACCAAAUUGCAUAAUUGCAAGCAAAUUAUCCUACGUUGCUGAAUCUCUAACUUACUGUCAGGAACUGAU